rnacentral:rRNA from 1 species
UACGGAGGAUCCUAGCGUUGUCCGGAUUUAUUGGGUUUAAAGGGUGCGUAGGCGGAUUACUAAGUCAGGGGUGAAAGCCGGUAGCUUAACUAUCGAAUUGCCUUUGAAACUGGUAGUCUUGAAUACUGUUGAGGUGGGCGGAAUGUAUCAUGUAGCGGUGAAAUGCUUAGAUAUGAUACAGAACACCGAUUGCGAAGGCAGCUCACUAAGCAGUUAUUGACGCUGAGGCACGAAAGCGUGGGGAUCAAACAGG